GGGACUUCUUAUUUCUCUGCACGUGUUUGAUUGACAUGAUUGCAUGGCUGCGUAUUAGUUUUUUUCUUUUCUGUUUUAAGUUCACAUAUUCUCAUUGGUUUUUAAGAGGACAUAUAUCACAUUUUCUGAAUAGGUAAUAUGGUUUCAUCAUUUGAAAUUAAAAAGGACAAGAGGACACAGAGUGAAAAACUUCUUACUCUUAUCCCCAGUGGCCCUCUCCUCCCUAGAGGCAACAAGUAUUACAGUUUCUCCUGUACCCUUCCAGGGACCUUCUCUGAAUAAACAGGUAACACGUGCAUGGUAUUUGCCCUUCUUUUACACAGAGGAUAAACUCUGUAGUAUUCUGUACUUUGCUUUUCUUUCAGAUAUAGCUGGCCAGUAGUUCCAUGUCAGUACAUAAAGGAUUUGCUCUUUGUUACUGCUACCUAUUAUUUCAUUCUAUAUUUGCCCCAUGAUUUACUUUUCCAGCCUGUAUUUUACUUUUUUGUAUGUGUGCUGGGAACCCAUGUCCAUUCCUCAUGCAGGGUAUGCUCUGUCAUUGAGCUGACCUCCAGCUCUCCAGUCUAUUUCUGAUGAAAGUCUGGUUGCUUUUACUGUUAAAACAUUGCUACAGUGGACACCCGUGCACAUCCAUCAUUAGAGAAAAGACCCUUUAAAAAUACUGUGACUUAGAGCUGGAAUUGUGGCUCAGUGGUAGAGCGCUCGCCUAGCACGGGCGGGACCCAAAUUUGAUUCUCAGCACCACACAAAAUAAAUAAAGGCAUUGUGUUGUGUCCAUCUACAAAAAAG
rnacentral:lncRNA from 1 species